GACGAACGCUGGCGGCGUGCUUAACACAUGCAAGUCGAGCGGAAAGGCUCCUUCGGGGGUACUCGAGCGGCGAACGGGUGAGUAACACGUGAGUAAUCUGCCCUUGGCUUUGGGAUAAGCCCCGGAAACGGGUCUAAUACCGGAUACGACGCACUCUCGCAUGGGAUGUGUGUGGAAAGUUUUUUCGGCCAGGGAUGUGCUCGCGGCCUAUCAGCUUGUUGGUGGGGUAAUGGCCUACCAAGGCUUCGACGGGUAGCCGGCCUGAGAGGGUGACCGGCCACACUGGGACUGAGACACGGCCCAGACUCCUACGGGAGGCAGCAGUGGGGAAUAUUGGACAAUGGGCGGAAGCCUGAUCCAGCAACGCCGCGUGAGGGAUGACGGCCUUC
rnacentral:rRNA from 1 species